rnacentral:rRNA from 1 species
AGCGGCGGACGGGUGAGUAAUGUCUGGGAAACUGCCUGAUGGAGGGGGAUAACUACUGGAAACGGUAGCUAAUACCGCAUAAUGUCGCAAGACCAAAGUGGGGGACCUUCGGGCCUCAUGCCAUCAGAUGUGCCCAGAUGGGAUUAGCUAGUAGGUGGGGUAACGGCUCACCUAGGCGACGAUCCCUAGCUGGUCUGAGAGGAUGACCAGCCACACUGGAACUGAGACACGGUCCAGACUCCUACGGGAGGCAGCAGUGGGGAAUAUUGCACAAUGGGCGCAAGCCUGAUGCAGCCAUGCCGCGUGUGUGAAGAAGGCCUUCGGGUUGUAAAGCACUUUCAGCGGGGAGGAAGGCGGUGAGGUUAAUAACCUUGUCGAUUGACGUUACCCGCAGAAGAAGCACCGGCUAACUCCGUGCCAGCAGCCGCGGUAAUACGGAGGGUGCAAGCGUUAAUCGGAAUUACUGGGCGUAAAGCGCACGCAGGCGGUCUGUCAAGUCGGAUGUGAAAUCCCCGGGCUCAACCUGGGAACUGCAUUCGAAACUGGCAGGCUAGAGUCUUGUAGAGGGGGGUAGAAUUCCAGGUGUAGCGGUGAAAUGCGUAGAGAUCUGGAGGAAUACCGGUGGCGAAGGCGGCCCCCUGGACAAAGACUGACGCUCAGGUGCGAAAGCGUGGGGAGCAAACAGGAUUAGAUACCCUGGUAGUCCACGCCGUAAACGAUGUCGAUUUGGAGGUUGUGCCCUUGAGGCGUGGCUUCCGGAGCUAACGCGUUAAAUCGACCGCCUGGGGAGUACGGCCGCAAGGUUAAAACUCAAAUGAAUUGACGGGGGCCCGCACAAGCGGUGGAGCAUGUGGUUUAAUUCGAUGCAACGCGAAGAACCUUACCUGGUCUUGACAUCCACAGAACUUUCCAGAGAUGGAUUGGUGCCUUCGGGAACUGUGAGACAGGUGCUGCAUGGCUGUCGUCAGCUCGUGUUGUGAAAUGUUGGGUUAAGUCCCGCAACGAGCGCAACCCUUAUCCUUUGUUGCCAGCGGUUCGGCCGGGAACUCAAAGGAGACUGCCAGUGAUAAACUGGAGGAAGGUGGGGAGGACGUCAAGUCAUCAUGGCCCUUACGACCAGGGCUACACACGUGCUACAAUGGCAUAUACAAAGAGAAGCGACCUCGCGAGAGCAAGCGGACCUCAUAAAGUAUGUCGUAGUCCGGAUUGGAGUCUGCAACUCGACUCCAUGAAGUCGGAAUCGCUAGUAAUCGUAGAUCAGAAUGCUACGGUGAAUACGUUCCCGGGCCUUGUACACACCGCC